AGUGAACGCUGGCGGUAGGCCUAACACAUGCAAGUCGAACGGCAGCACAGUAAGAGCUUGCUCUUACGGGUGGCGAGUGGCGGACGGGUGAGGAAUACAUCGGAAUCUACUUUUUCGUGGGGGAUAACGUAGGGAAACUUACGCUAAUACCGCAUACGACCUACGGGUGAAAGCAGGGGAUCUUCGGACCUUGCGCGAUUGAAUGAGCCGAUGUCGGAUUAGCUAGUUGGCGGGGUAAAGGCCCACCAAGGCGACGAUCCGUAGCUGGUCUGAGAGGAUGAUCAGCCACACUGGAACUGAGACACGGUCCAGACUCCUACGGGAGGCAGCGGUGGGGAAUAUUGAUGAAAGGGGGCAAGCCUGAUCCAGCCAUACCGCGUGGGUGAAGAAGGCCUUCGGGUUGUAAAGCCCUUUUGUUGGGAAAGAAAAGCAGCAGGUUAAUACCCCGCUGUUCUGGCGGUACCCAAAGAAUAAGCACCGGCUAACUUCGUG
rnacentral:rRNA from 1 species